rnacentral:rRNA from 1 species
UGGGGAAUAUUGCACAAUGGGCGCAAGCCUGAUGCAGCCAUGCCGCGUGUAUGAAGAAGGCCUUCGGGUUGUAAAGUACUUUCAGCGGGGAGGAAGGGAGUAAAGUUAAUACCUUUGCUCACCGACGUUACCCGCAGAAGAAGCACCGGCUAACUCCGUGCCAGCAGCCGCGGUAAUACGGAGGGUGCAAGCGUUAAUCGGAAUUACUGGGCGUAAAGCGAACGCAGGCGGCUUGUUAAGUCAGAUGUGAAAUCCCCGGGCUCAACCUGGGAACUGCAUCUGAUACUGGCAAGCUGGAGUCUCGUAGAGGGGGGUAGAAGUCCAGGUGUAGCGGUGAAAUGCGUAGAGAUCUGGAGGAAUACCGGUGGCGAAGGCGGCCCCCUGGACGAAGACUGACGCUCAGGUGCGAAAGCGUGGGGAGCAAACAGG